rnacentral:rRNA from 1 species
CCUAGGGGAGGCAGCAGUAGGGAAUAUUGGGCAAUGGGCGGAAGCCUGAACCAGCCAAGUAGCGUGCAGGAUGACGGCCCCAUGGGUUGUAAACUGCUUUUAUACAGGAAUAAAGUUAGCCACGUGUGGUUAUUUGUAGGUACUGUAUGAAUAAGGACCGGCUAAUUCCCUGCCAGCAGCCGCGG